rnacentral:rRNA from 1 species
UGGGGAAUAUUGCACAAUGGGCGAAAGCCUGAUGCAGCAACGCCGCGUGAGUGAUGAAGGUCUUCGGAUUGUAAAGCUCUGUCUUUUGGGACGAUAAUGACGGUACCAAAGGAGGAAGCCACGGCUAACUACGUGCCAGCAGCCGCGGUAAUACGUAGGUGGCGAGCGUUGUCCGGAUUUACUGGGCGUAAAGGGUGCGUAGGCGGAUGUUUAAGUGAGAUGUGAAAUACCCGGGCUUAACUUGGGUGCUGCAUUUCAAACUGGAUAUCUAGAGUGCAGGAGAGGAGAAUGGAAUUCCUAGUGUAGCGGUGAAAUGCGUAGAGAUUAGGAAGAACACCAGUGGCGAAGGCGAUUCUCUGGACUGUAACUGACGCUGAGGCACGAAAGCGUGGGUAGCAAACAGGAUUAGAUACCCUGGUAGUCCACGCCGUAAACGAUGAGUACUAGGUGUAGGAGGUAUCGACCCCCUCUGUGCCGCAGUAAACACAUUAAGUACUCCGCCUGGGAAGUACGAUCGCAAGAUUAAAACUCUAAGUGAAUUGACGGGGUC